rnacentral:rRNA from 1 species
UACGGAGGGUGCAAACGUUGCUCGGAAUCAUUGGGCGUAAAGCGCACGUAGGCGGCCUGUUAAGUCGGGUGUGAAAGCCCUGGGCUCAACCCAGGAAGUGCACACGAAACUGGCAGGCUUGAAUAUGGAAGAGGGUCGCGGAAUUCCCGGUGUAGAGGUGAAAUUCGUAGAUAUCGGGAGGAACACCAGUGGCGAAGGCGGCCGCCUGGGCCAA